UUGAAUAGGGCUGAUUUAAUGUAUGCAAUAGUGUUCCAGCGUCAGGGGCGCACCAGCAGGUGGACAAUCUUAAUCUUCCUGUGGCAGAUCUGGAAACUCCUACAUACAUCACAUUUCUUCUGAUUCAGUCUUUGAGUUCAAGACUCCAGGCUUCCAGGACCCCUCACCUCAUCUACCCCAGGAGAGAGUGAAUGUGGGUUGGCCGAAAUGGCUGACAGCUCACCUGCACUUCCAGACUCCUCGAUGGUGUUCAACCUCCUCAUGGGAAGCUGAGCGCGGGAUGAGGAGCGUGGCGCCACACCAGAGGACUGGAGACAGGCUGAGAGUUGGGACACGUCACUACCACCACCUAAAAUAAUAGGCAAAGCCAGUCUCCAGAUCUUGUCCAGGUUGGAGGGAAUAGUACUUUUGAGACCUGGGGACGUUUUCUUCAGCCUGGAAGAGGAGAAAGAGUGAAGGUAACACAGAGCUCAAUUGAAAACCAAUGAACUGAGGCGCCGGGUAGCUCACCGCUAGAGCAUGUGACCAAUGUACAAAGACCAGAGUCCUUGCUGCAGCGGCCCAGGUUUUAGACUGACUCGCAGCCCUUUGCUGCAUGUCGUCCCCUCUCUCACUCCCACAUUUCCUGUCUCUCAUCUGUCCUAUCUCAAAUAAAGGCACAAAAAGCCCCAAAAAAUAACUGUA